rnacentral:rRNA from 1 species
UACGAAGGGGGCUAGCGUUGUUCGGAAUUACUGGGCGUAAAGCGCACGUAGGCGGAUUUGUAAGUCAGGGGUGAAAUCCCGGGGCUCAACCUCGGAACUGCCUUUGAUACUGCAAGUCUCGAGUCCGAGAGAGGUGAGUGGAAUUCCUAGUGUAGAGGAGAAAUUCGUAGAUAUUAGGAAGAACACCAGUGGCGAAGGCGGCUCACUGGCGCGGUACUGACGCUGAGGUGCGAAAGCGUGGGGAGCAAACACG